UUCGCAAUGCCCGAAAGGGUGACGAAGCGACGCCGCGUGUGGGAAGAAGGCCUUCGGGUUGUAAACCACUGUCGGGAGUUAAGAAAUGCAAGAAUGUUAAUAGCGUUUUUGCUUGACUAAGGCUCCGGAGGAAGCCACGGCUAACUCUGUGCCAGCAGCCGCGGUAAUACAGAGGCGGCAAGCGUUGUUCGGAAUUAUUGGGCGUAAAGAGCACGUAGGCGGCUAUAUAAGUCGGUUGUGAAAGCCUUCCGCUCAACGGGAGAACAGCAUCCGAUACUGUGUGGCUUGAGUGUGGGAGGGGAGAGCGGAACUUCUGGUGGAGCGGUGAAAUGCGUAGAUAUCAGAAGGAACGCCGGCGGCGAAAGCGGCUCUCUGGCCCAUAACUGACGCUGAGUGUGCGAAAGCUAGGGGAGCAAACGGGAUUAGAUACCCCGGUAGUCCUAGCCGUAAACGAUGGGCACUAAGUAGAGGGGUU
rnacentral:rRNA from 1 species